UACGAAGGGGGCUAGCGUUGCUCGGAAUCACUGGGCGUAAAGGGUGCGUAGGCGGGUCUUUAAGUCAGGGGUGAAAUCCUGGAGCUCAACUCCAGAACUGCCUUUGAUACUGAGGAUCUUGAGUUCGGGAGAGGUGAGUGGAACUGCGAGUGUAGAGGUGAAAUUCGUAGAUAUUCGCAAGAACACCAGUGGCGAAGGCGGCUCACUGGCCCGAUACUGACGCUGAGGCACGAAAGCGUGGGGAGCAAA
rnacentral:rRNA from 1 species